GUCCACGCCAUAAACGAUGAAUACUAGGUGUUGGAGGAUUUAAACCCUUCGGUACCGCAGCUAACGCGUUAAGUAUUCCGCCUGGGGAGUACGACCGCAAGGUUAAAACUCAAAGGAAUUGACGGGGGCCCGCACAAGCAGCGGAGCGUGUGGUUUAAUUCGAUGCAACGCGAAACAACCUUACCUGGAUUUGACGUGUCCGUAGUAGUGAAGCGAAAGCGGAACGACCCUUCGGGGAGCGGAUGCAGGUGCUGCAUGGCUGUCGU
rnacentral:rRNA from 1 species